rnacentral:lncRNA from 1 species
CAUGCAUGUCCAGUUAACAGAUUGGAAGUGGAGCACCAUUCCAUGAGUGGAGGCACUCUAACAAAGGAUCAAUGAUCUCUCCUUUGCUCAUUGCUGUGAAAACCUUAUCGAACUCUUCUCCAGGUGACCGCACUUUUUCUCCUGUAAGAUAUUCAGUUCCCAGCUCUUCCCUCACGAACUUGUACAAUGGGUACGACCUGCACUCCUUGAUCCUGUUUGGGAUUGCUGGAUUUCCACUUUCCAGCGCGGUUCUAGCACUUUCAACUUCUUUAGGCAGAAGGGCCUUUAGCUCAUCCUCAAAUGUCGCGAUCUUUUGGAAGAUGGAGGUGCUCAGGUUCCUCUCACUGUCACCGUUUUUAAGUGCGUGUUCAACCAGUGUUUGCCUUAGUUUUUGCAUCAAUGGGUAGGUUGCGCUGCAGGGAUCAUCAAUGUAUGCGAAGAUAUAUUCGCGGUCCACCACUCUGAGCAAAUCUUUCUCACAGAAUCUUGAGGGAUGGAGUUCACCGUUGACACCAGUGGUGAGUACUCGCUUGGCUACUUGGCUUACAGUGUUUUUGACGGUGUUUUUCAAAUUCUCCUCCAAAUGCCUCAAGUCUAUUGCUUGGCAGAGGCCAACUAAAAACGUGGUAGACAUGAGUUUCAAGAUUUCGACAGCUUCUGAUGUUUUCCUGGAAGAAAUCAAGCCCAAGGAGUUCACAUCUUGAUUGUGUUGUUCAGCACUUUGAACAUGGUUGGUCACUGGAUUGGCUAGAAACUGAAGUUCAGAGCAGUAAGAAGCCAUGGCAAUCUCAGCUCCCUUGAAUCCAUAAUCCAAACUCGGAUUACGCCCUCCAGACAAAUUCGAUGGCAACCCAUUGUUGUAAAAAUCAUUGACAAGUUCUGAAAAUUGAGCAAACAUGAGCUUUCCUAUCGCUGCAAUCGCCAAACGCGUAUUGUCCAUCGACACUCCAAUAGGCGUGCCCUGGAAAUUGCCACCAUGUAUAGCCUUGUUUCUUGAAACAUCAAUCAAGGGGUUAUCAUUAACCGAAUUAAUCUCUCUUUCAAUCAUCUUAGUCGAUGAUCGAAUGACUUCAAUCUGAGGACCAAGCCACUGAGGAGAUGUCCUCAGAGCAUAUCUGUCCUGUUUCGGCUUUUGUAAUGGAUCCAUUUCAUGCAACUUCUGAGCAGCCUUAACAUAAGCACUUCCAUCCAAAAUGUGUUCCAUUAUAGCCGCGGCCUCGAUCUGGCCCGGAUGGUGCUUCAACUUAUGUGUCAAAUGGUCUGUGAAUUCAGGCUUUCCUUGCAUCACUUCCGCGAAAAUCGCUGACAUGACUUCAGCCAAAACAGCCAAAAUAUUAGCCUCAAAAAGCACCAUAGAGGCCAUGCCAGAACCAACAGCCGUUCCAUUGACAAGCGCAAGGCCUUCUUUCGGCUGCAACUCGAAAAAUCCACCUUCCACUCCAGCAAGCUUAAACGCUUCUUCGGGGCUGAGAACGGCUCCGGUGGGUCCCACGGCCUUCGAAUUGGGACGGCCAGUGAGAAGACCAGCAAUGUAGGACAAUGGUACGAGAUCACCAGAAGCAGUGAUGGUACCACGUAGUGGCAAACAGGGAGUGAUGUUCUGGUUCAAGAACUUGGUGAUCGCUUCGAGAAUCUCGAAUCGGAUUCCAGAGUAGCCUUGGAGAAGAGUGUUGAUUCUCACUAGCAUGGCUGCUCUGGUUGCUGAGUGGGGUAAUGUGUUGUCUGAUCCAUUACCAAAUAUUCCAGCAUUCAAGAACCUGUUAGUACAAAGUAUUCAUUGGAUUAGUUGCAAGUUCAGAAUCUGUUACAACUGUAAUAAAUUUAUCACAUGCCUUGAUUAAGUACUAGUACUAGUAUUUAAAUAGGAGUUUCUUUUGUUAUUUCUAUUUCUUUUUUAACAACAGGUGAACUAAAUUAGUUUGGAGAUGCAUAUGGCAAUCAUUGAUAAGACUUGAUAUAUAGAUCCAGAUCCCCCUCAAAGGCGCCGUAGGUGAGUUAUAUUUAAUUUCUAAUUUUUAAUCCUCUUGUAUUUCAGUAAUUCUUUACGUAUUUUUAGAUGACUAGAUUAUACAUUUUACAAUAGUAUUUUUUUUAAUUUUUUUAUAAAUAAAAUAUACUAUAAAUAUUUUUAUUUAUAAAAAUAAUUUUUUAAGUAGGUGAAAUUAUUAAAAAUAUGCAAAAAUAAUUAGGAGAUUAAUAUAUCUAAAUAAAAUAAUUAAUUUUGCCAAAAUUGAGUGGGACACGAAAAGAAAAAAAUACAAACCUAUCCGUUUACUCUUUCCUUUCCUUUUCGUAUUGUAAAGGAUUUUUCUUUAAUUUUUUUUUUUUGACUCUGAUGAACAAAUCUAAGCCACCUAACAGUAACGCCUAUUUAAAUAUUUCCGUCACUAAAUGAAUAUAUGCAGUAAUUAGCAUGGUUGCUGUUUUAAGAUUUUCGUUGGGAUUAAUAUUCUGGGUUCACGUUCAAAAUGUCUCCCUAAGUUUUUUUAGCUAAGAGCAACGGGCUCUCUAAACAAGCUCCUAAGUCUAAAAUUUAGGAGCAAAUCAAAAUUCAGUGCUCCAAUGGGCUCUCAGAUGCUCUUUAAAAAUUUAGGAGCCUACUCUCUCUCCUUUCUUUUAAAGAGCAUCUAGUAGCUCCCAACUCAAUAUUAUAUUAUUUUUCUUUCAAUCUUCUCUAUCUUUUAGUUAACUUUUUUCUCUCAUUUAUAUAAAAUAAAUAUAAAAUGUGAAUAAGGAGCCAAAUAUAAAGAGUAGCAUUGGAGUUCUACGUUUUCCGGUGUAUUAACUUACUAAGAGCCACAUUUUAUAUUAUUGUUUAGGGAAUGAUCUCAAACACACGUUAAAAACUCAAAAUGGUAUUUUCUCAUUGACGCCAUUUUAUUAGAUUUUGUUGAUAUGAUAUAUAGUAAAAUCUGUGGACGUUAAUAAUAUCGAUAGUUUAAAAUUUUAUUAAUUUAUCUAGAUUAAAUAUAACAGAAAAGAAACGUACCUAAUGAGCUCUUUCUGAAGAGCACCACCUUGCUUAGUCCUCCUAUGAGAAGUCGCCCCAAACCCCGUAGUUACACCAUAACUAUCCGUCCCUUUGUUCAUGCUGUCCAUCACCCAAUCACUACUCGCCUUCACUCCCGCUCUCGCCGCCUCCGACAGCUCCACCGUCACGCCACUCCCAUCCCUCGCCGAAAUCGCCGCCACCUGAGAUAUCGUCAAGGUUUCUCCCCCCAACUUCACCACCGGCUUCCUAUACUCCGCCACCAUCCUCUUCACUUCAUCCAAAUGACUCCCCGUCAUCGCCUCCGCCGCCACUCCCCAGUUCAACGGAUCCCCCUUCAUGCACAACUCCACCCCGUUCCCGUUUGCAUGUCCAUUAGCGAUAACACCGUUCUCGCACUCCAUUUUAUGUCACAAAAAUUUAAUAUAACAAAAUUUAUUUUGUACCUCAAGGGGAAAAAAAUGUAGCUACAAGCUGAGAUAUAUGAGAUAUAAGAGCAAGAUGUGUGUGUAUAUAUUUAUGGUUAGCAAGUUCCUGAGGAGUGGUAGCUAAGAGAAGUGGUUUAUAUAGAAGGUGAUAUGAAGGGUAGAUAUAAAAUGUGAUGAUUUAAUAUAUAAUAAAAUAAAAGUGUGUGUUUUGGUAGGUGGGAAUAUGAUUUCUUGGAAAAUAGGUUGGGGGGUGGGUUGAGUGACGGACGGCCAUAUGAGGGGGUUUGUUGGAACUCAUUAUCCGCCGUUGAUUUCACUUGUCUUGCUGUUAUUGGACGGCUGGGAUGUGGGUUGACGUGGACAUGGGUUUGAACAGGAGAUUUAACUCGCUUGGAAUGAGCUUGUGGUGAGAUCACCACCGAGAAACUGCUAUUGCGGUUGGUGGGAAUUUAUAUUUGAUAUAUGAUAAUUGAUACACGUAUUAUUAUUACUGCAUUCGAUCUCUCGUGUCAUUUUUAUGUAUAUUCGUUGCAUGCAAAUGUUUGAGUGUGUGGGAAUGAGUCAAUUUAAUGUAUUAAGUAGAUGUUAUGAGAUAGUAGUUUAUUUCUUUAGAUAUAUAGUGUAUGAUCUUAAUCGGAGACAACUUAAGUCGGUCAUAUAUGCGGAAACGAAAUUAUAUGGUUCAGCAGAUAUAAAAUAAUUUAAAUUAAAUAAUGGAAGACUCAGACAAAGAUGAUUGAAUUAUAUAAAUGAAAUUGGAAGGACUCGAGCUCUUGCUAAAACAAAUUCUGAUAUCAUAUUAAGUAAUCUGUCUAAAACAACCCGAUUCAUAAACUUCAAUAUAUGUUCCAUUAUUAAGAAUCAUGUUUUUGGAUAUUUUAAUAAUAAAUUGAUAUUAUUUCAUUCGAUCAAAAAAAUUGAUAUUAUUUCAUGCAUAUUAUUAAUAGAUAAUGAGAUAGAUAAUUUAUUGGACUUGAUUUGAUUUAUAAGGAGUAUCCUGUAAAAUGAAUUUUGAAUACUGUGGAUGAAUAUCAAAAUUCAAAGCAAUACAUUUCAGUGCUCUUUUUAAGAAUGACGACUAAUUAAGUGCACAAAUUUGAUAUCACUAGCUGAGUAAAAAUACUAUAUACAUAUUUGUUUACGAAGCCCGAGUUCAAAAGCAGUUUAUGUUUUUCUUUCUCCGUUUAGGUAAAAAAACAAUAAAAGUAUUUAUAAAACAUUGAAAAUGUUAGUUUUUUUUUCACGAUUUCUAAUUUUUUGCAAACAGUUUAAUAAUUUAUACAUUUUUUUCAAAUAAUUUAAUAAUUUAUAAGUUUUAACUUGCUUAUCACUUUUACUCUAAUUUUUUUAGUUUAAACUAGAAGUCAUCCUUUUUAGGGGUGAUCGCGGUGCGGGCGGUGCGGUUUUUUCCUAAAACCGCAAACCAAACCGCACAUACGGUUUUAUCAAAAUCUCAAACCGCAACCGCACCACGAAAUUUUAAAACCACAUAAACCACACCACGAAAAUGCGGUGCUGUGUGGUGCGGUUCACUGCGGUGUCCACAUGCGAUAAAACUAACUAAAUAUCUCUAAAUUUGAAGAUAAAUUUCAAAUCUGGAACAUUAAUAAAACUUAACAGAGGAGUCUUAAACAGCAUAGUAGCACACCGAUUAAAGUCUUAAACAGACAGACUGAGAUAGUUGAAGUGGAAAGUAAUUUCAAAUACAAAUAUUAAAAAUAUUAUUUUUAAUUAUNCGCACCGCACCGCGCGGUUCGUGAAAAAUCCAAACCGCAACCGCACCACGAAAAUUAAAAACCGCGUUUUGUGGUGCGGUUCGGUGCGGUUUGGACGGUUUACGCGGUUUGGGCGGUUUUCUGCUCACCCCUAAUUCUUUUAACUAACCCAGACGUCCUGCUGCGAGAGCAUGUCAGAUUUUACCACUUCCCCCUCUUUGGUUUGGUCUACCUAAAUGAAUAAGAUACAAGAAACGCAGGCUUUACAAAUUAAAUAAACUCGACUUUUUUGACCUUUCUCUAUAUUCCCAUCGAGUUCAUGUCUUGGAGCUUUUAUCCCCUUAUCCGAAAAUAAUGGAAAAAAAGAUGAAACUGAAGAAAAAUGACAUUAUUUUGGAUAAUAAAGAUUUUAAUAAAAAAGUUUUUAACAAACUCUGUUUUACUGAAAAAAGGAGCAAUUAGGAAGCUACAAGCAUAUCACACCUUCCUACAUUACUUAACGUGGUUGAUGUUCGUUGGCUGGUAAAGAGUUGUAGUUACUACUAAUUAAAACUCUUAUAUUUGUAAGUUAUAAAUUAUAGGAGUCAUUCGAGACUGGUUUAAAAAAAUGGUGCAAAAUCUCGAAGAAUAAAAAAGAAUAUGGAGGUGGUCCGGUUUGUACAAAUGAAGAGACAAAGGAACUUGAGUCAAACACCACGUGGUUCAAUUUAUUUAUCUGUUGAGGAAACAAAGCUCCGGUAUGAAUGCCAAUUCCCCACAUGAUUUUGUUAUUUUUCGUUUUGGUCUGUUUUUAACCCAUGAUUCAGAAAAUACAUAAACAGUCAUAUAACAAUCUUGUACUACUCCCUCGGUCUCUCUUAUUAUCCUUUUACCUUAUUUUUUUGACACAUUUUUCCAGCACGUUUUCCAUGAUCAUUUGAAUUAUAGUUUCAUAAUAUAUUUUUAAAUUUUUUUCUCUGAAUAAAAAUUUGUUGUUUGAACUUUUCUUCAGAAAAAAAAAUAUUAAAAAAAAAUUAUGAAAUUAUACUUCAUAAGACUAUCAAAAUGCAUGCAUGCUAAAAUAUAUUGACCAAAUUAUAUAAAAUAAUAAUUAUAUAAAAUUUUUCGAAUUAGCUAGUAAAAUAUUAUGCUGUCAUAAUACUAAUCUUAUUAAUUGACUAUAUUUGAAAGUGAGAUAUUAUUAUUAUUUGAAAUUAUUAUAAAUAGAAUAUUUAAAAUAUGACAAUUAACGGUGUGGACUCCGAGUAUUUAAGGGUUGGCUAAAUAUAUUCAAUAAUAAAUAAUUGAUUGUAUUUAUUGCUAAGAAGGAUGGGUUCAUCAGAAUACCAAUUUUUAUGUAUACAUAUAUUUUAUUUAUACUUUUUCUCCAAGUAUUUUUUGACGGGGAGAUGUUGAAUUUGAAACGAUGAAAGAUCGUUCGAUAGAAUAUUAUUGUCUACUAUGAUCAGAUGAGUAAAAAAUUAAAAAUAACUAGUACUAUAUGGUUUAUCUUUCAGCAUGGUUAUAUCUCGUUUUUAAAAGACCUAUAGGUGUGAUAAAAUAGGAAAGGUUGGUGACGGCCAUGUAUACUCCGCUGGCUUUUGCUUACUCAUUUGGCUUUCUUUUAUUUGAUAAUUUUUAAUUAAGCACCUUGCUUAAUUAUUUCCUCAGGUUAUAGAGUAAAAAAAAGAUAAAUAAAUAAUAUACAUACAAAGAAUCAAGGAUACAAAUAUAUGUAGUCAACUAUGUCACAUCUCUCACAUGCAUCUCUGGGAAUACACCACCAGCAGUUUCGGUUAUUAAAACAUUUGAUUAAGCAUAUAACUGAUCAGAAAUUAUGAAGCUCUUUAAUUACUUAACUAAUUCGUAGGUUUAGAAAAAAUAUGAGUGUCCACUCUUAACUCUUUAAGUAAUAAGCCGGCCAUUAAUUUUGGCAACUUGCGUCGAGUUGAAAUAAGGUUCAAUUAGUUAAUGCAGUAUCUGCUGUACCAUGUACAGAACUUCCUAGAUUAACUACUAAUACAGUACUUAAUCGUUAUUAACAACAUCCGCUAGUUAAUUACAGAACUUCUUUUUGGAUUUUUGGAACAACUAUUCUUUUUCACUUGAAUGUUAAGCGGACAUUUUCUGUGAGACAAGAGGAAAAACAUUUUAAGAAUCCUCUGCUGUCUAUGUAUUUUUAUUUGACCAAGUGAUUUUCUCCUAUUUUAUUACCUUGUAAACCUAGCUUAAUCAGUGUUUGCCUUAAUUUAUGGUAAGUAUAUGUAUAUAUGUAUUUAUGUUUUGUUUAUUCAGGUUUAGCAUUGCUGAUUCUUGACUUUGUCAAUUAUCUAUAUCACUUAAAAUUUUGCAUUGCACGAGGCAUUAUACUAUUUCAUAUUUUUCUAAUAUAAAAUUAACUUUUAUAAGACACAUUUAAUCAAUUUUGUACUAAUUAAAUAUUCGAGAAAUUUUGUUAAAAAUAUUUCAAAAUUUUUGUCAUUCUCUUUUAAUUCAAAGAGGUAAUGUUGUAAAGGAAAUAUGCAUACGGACUUAUAAUACUAUUUUAACUACUGCACUUUUUUUUUUUGGUCGCAUGUAAGAUAUCUUUAAGUUGAUAUUAAAUAUUGUACUUCAAAUUUUAUCUACGCUCUAUAUAAUAUUAAAUUUAAAAGGUCCUCGACCCUUCUUUUAUAUUAAGGUUUUGUGUAAAAAACAGAGAUUCAGUAUAUUUGAUCACUUAGAAUCAUCACAUACUGAUUAGAAUCAUCACAUAUUGAUUCCAGGAUUAGUUUAUCUAAAUAAUUAGAAACUAACAUAACAAGCCGUGUAAUCAUCUAAGAUUUGCAGUUUUCAUUUAGAUUCCUUUAGACUUUAGAGCCCUAUUACUAUAGUUAAAUGAAGCAUCUUCAUGUCACUAUAUUCAUCAAUUCAAUAAACAGGAGUUGAUGACUGGCUGCAACAAGUUUCGUCAUCAAUUUGUGGAAUAGUUCAUUAGCUACUGAGAUCAGGUUAAUUAUCCCCUAAAAUUUGAUCAGUCCAAAUAUUUUUACUGUACAAAAAUUUUCAAGGAAAACGAAAUCUAACCUAUCCAAUACAUGCUUUCAAAGAUAUCACCAUCUCAUCACCAAACUUAAUAACAGCCAGAUCAGAUCAGAUGAAACAAGGAGAGAGUCCAAAAAUCACUGAUUAACAUGCAACAAAUUUCUAUUUUAAGCAUUUACUAAUUGAGGUCAAGUGAUAUACGAGCCUCGAAUUGAAAAUAUUAUAAAUAAAAAUUAUAGAGUUAUUUUUAUAAAAUGUGAACCGCAAUAGUGUUGGCUAUACAUUUGUGGAGUUUGAUUUGAAAUUUGGAGCUCAAAACUUAGAAGUUGAACAUGGUUAUAUUAUUUUGUUAAGUAGGUAAAGAGUUGGAGUUGUAUAAAUUUAAUUUAAUCCGUAAAAUGUAAAAUGUGUCAUCUAGAUAAUGUUACCUACAACAUUUUAACAAGAAAUUUUUACCAUCGGACAUGCUCUUACCCAACUAUUUGUGAAAUUGUAUAUUUUUUUAACAAAUUAUCUUUAAUUCUCUGUAUUGAGCACAAAGGGUUGUUUAAAAUUACAGAUCAUCACAAAUAUCUUUCAAAGAUUCUAGCAGCCGAUCUGGAGUUGACUUGGAUUUUGUUCAGCAGGUCAUAAAUCGUAGCGGAGCUGUUUGAAGUUGAACAAGGACAAAAACUUGUUACCAACGAUAAAACUUGGCAGCAAAAGUAGAAAGAGCAUGGUCUAGAGGACCACAAUUUCCACUAAGAUAGUUUGUCGAAGUACAUGGAGCAAAAAGACCUAAUAGUCAACAAAGAAAGCUCAACACGCACAUAGAAGGUUAGGUUUAACAAAUUUUGUGGAUCACAAUCUUCCACUAUUUGUUUUGGUGCUACCUACCAUCUCUCAAAUAUAUUAUCUAUCACAGGGUGGAGGUCAACAAUUAUUUCCAACUGGGACUAUAUAUUAAGUUUUUCAUUCUCGCUGCAUAUAUGUAAUAUUCUCAAAUAAAAUGAGUCCAUAUAUAUUGCUUGGUCCAAGGAUUUUACCACAUGUUCUCAGCCAAACUCUGGUUUUCUGCUUAGAUUGGCAAAGUCCCAUAAGAGAGAAGCACCUUUUUUUUGAGUAAAACACAGUUGAGAGAAAUUCAAAUAUGCACGCACCCAUUUUCUCACUGAACAUUUGACGUCUUUUAGUUCUAAGUCUGGCGGAUGAAGACAACUCUGGUCACGCUUUUACAAGAUGAAAGUAAUAGUAUAUAUAGUCAGGUAUACAAGAAGACUAACGGUAAUGUAAUUCCUAAAGGAAGGGCAUGAAUGAAUGUCAAACAGAAAAAUGGAAUAUCAACAAAAAUAUGAACAAUGUCAAUUGAGAUGUCGAGUUAAGAGUAAAGAACUCGGAUUAUUUGGAUAGCUUUCUGCAAAACCUCGCUAUACAAAUACACAGUGAAGUGUAUUCACCUUUGUACUGACUUACAGAGGUAGAGAAAAAUUACGUGACUGUUUGGGUUAACGUCACUUUAUAAAAAAAAGGGCUUAUUUCGGGAGAAAAGUACAUAAAAAUGUACUUCUUUUCUGAAUCAAGUCCUUAUUGUUUCGUCACAUAAUGAAUAUGAAACACUUUCUUAACAUUUAUGUCUAAAAAUAUUAUAAAAAAAAUGUACAUUUUCUAAAAAAAUAAGCCCUUAAGUUAUGGGCUUUUCAUGCCCCCAAACAGGCCCAUUAUUUAGGACUUCAAGAAGACAUAUAAUCCAUGAAAGUAGAUAAAGAAAAAAAUGAAUGAAUGAAUGUCAAAAUAGGGACAAAAUAUGAACAAUAUCACUUCAGAUUUUCUGUAACUAGUGUUAGUAUUGGAAAAAGAUAAAAUAACUCGAUUUAAUCAGAUAGCUAGCUGCAAAAAUUCCCCAUAUAUAGAAUAUAGAUAUGAUAGAGUAUAUUUUUACAUAUAUUUUAUAUGAUUUUAUUCCUCAUAUUUAUUAUAUUUUGCAUUUAAUUGGAUAUUUAUUUAAUAGAUUUUAAUGUUUUAUUGUAGGAUGCAAGGAGUUCCUAAACUUGGAGGAAAUUAAAAUAAAAAGCUUAAUUUGAAGAUUAAUUAGAAGGAAAUUCGGAUUUGUUGGAUUGCUUGCACUUGACUCACUGUUUGGGCCAUAUUUUGAGUUCUAGAAGUCAGAAUUGGGUGAUCUUACAGCCCACGCGAAGCUUAGAGAAUUUUCUUUAAUUCAGAGGUGGUCCAAUAUCCAAAAUCCAACAGAAUCAGCCCAAAAACAGGACAGAAAACAGAGCUACGAAUUUUCCUUGGAGAAACCAAUUCCGUUUGGGAAACUGAUUUGUAUUUCCUUGUAAGCAUUAAAAUCAAUUAUAUUUAUAGGGAUAGACAGUAGAAAAAUAGAAUAUUGUAUAAUUAGGUUAGGUUAAAAACACUUUGUCUCAUCUUCUUCUUCAAGACUCCGGGAUUGAAGAAUUCAUUGUAUAAUCCAUCUUUAUUUUCUUUUAUAUAUCUAUUAUGCUAGAGUAGAUUUUAUUCUAGAGUUGAGUUGAACCCUAGUUGUGGUUGAUGCGUGAUUUUCGAUGAUCUCUGAUUGAUAAGGUUAUUUGCUCUUGCUUAUUGAGUUGUGCUAAAUAACAAUUACAGGUUAGACUUGAUUAUGUGUAUUGUUUGAACCGAUAUCUAUCUACCAUCGGAAGUUGGAUUUAGAUGGUUGUGAUUUAUCCAAUAAGGACAUGAACUUCUCCAUGGAAAUAGGUAGAAGGAAUUGUUUGGAAGUUAGGAUGCUGUGUUUAAUGUCUCUAAAUUGCAUGAUACCAUGGAAAUAGGCUUGAUUGUAUUUUAGAGAAGCCAAUAAUACUCGGAAGAGGUUAUUGGUAUUUUAUAGGGCGCAUCUUUCCUCUUGGGUAAUUUAUCUGAUUAAUUGGGGGAGGAAAUCAUAAUUGCAUUAAUUCAUGGUAGUGGGGAGACUUGAUUCUAGAUAUUUUUAGUUAAUUGUUUUCUAGAUUUUAUUUGUAUUAGUAUAAUAUUAGUUUAAUAAUCUCCAUAUUUUUAUUGUGUUACUUGUUAGUUGGAUUAAAUCGAGAAUAACUAGUGUUUGAUACGUUUGUCUCUGUGGGAACGACUCUGACUUACCCUACUACAUAAUUAGGAGGUUUCUUAGAUGUUUUAUUAUUCGAUAGGCACGCGACAGCCUUGUCAAGAUACUCAUGUUUCAAAUGAAGAUUUCAUCAUUAUUAUCAAAGUCAAGUACCCAAAUGAAUAAUUUCAGCAAAAAGAACAAAAACUCUAGUCACUCUUUUACACAUAGAAGUUUAAUCACCAUAUACAUAUCACUGAUCUUUUUAUAUUAAAAUAGUGCAAAUUUUAAGCUUAAAUUUAUGUACAGGAUUACACAGGUAAAACAUACAAAGAAGUGAGAAGAAUUAUAUCUUCUUACUAAAUCUCUCCAUAUGAAAAGACGUCUCAACACUCUUUAAAGCUUUGUUGGCUACUACUUGAAUUAGCUGCAGCGAGAAUAUCUAUGAUAUAAUCUAGUCUAGCCUCUGUAAUACUAUACUAAUAUGUGUGAUAUGCAGUGAGACACUUUGGGGUUCAAAUAUAUAAUCCAGAACGGUACAAUAGGUUUUUCUUAACGCAUAGCAAUUUAAUGCAGAAUAAAUUACAUAGCUUUACUCAUACACAUCGUAAAAAGACUGUCCAGAACCGUCGCCUAACCGAUAUAUGAAACCAAGCACAACUUCUAUACUAAACACAUACUAUAAUUCAAUUUCAAUUGCUGAUCUUAAGGGUUAUAACCCAAUUUUUGGCUUAAACUCAUGGAUAAUAUUCUUUUGGCAGAAAAAAAAGUGUAGUAUUAACCAUAUUCAAACUUAUAUACACACACCUCCUAGUUUCCAAGAACCAAAUCCAAUUACUAUCUCGGUUAAAUCAAGGUAAAAUAUGUUUCUUUCACUUUAUAGAAGUACUAAUUGUAUACUAUACAGGUUAAACAAACAAUAAACAGAAAACAAGCAUCCUCUAUAAUUUCAAAUAAACUAACAUUUAACAAUAUAUCUAAGGUAUUAUGUAUAGUUCAGAAGCACAAGAGAGCACAAUACUGGUCACAUGAUUUAAUUGAGACUAUUUAGAAUCACCGGGAGCUUGAAAAUGCAGAACAGAAGGUGGAGGAGCAGGA